rnacentral:rRNA from 1 species
CCUACGGGAGGCAGCAGUGGGGAAUAUUGGGCAAUGGGCGCAAGCCUGACCCAGCGACGCCGCGUGAAGGAAGAAGUCUUUCGGGUUGUAAAGUUCUUUUCUGAGGGACGAAGAAGGUGACGGUACCUCAAGAAUAAGCCACUGCUAACUACCUGCCAGCAGCCGCGGUAAUACGUAGGGGGCAAGCGUUAUCCGGAUUUAUUGGGUGUAAAGGGCGAGUAGGCGGGAAAGCAAGUCAGAUGUGAAAACUCAGGGCUCAACCCUGAGGCUGCAUUUGAAACUGUUUUUCUUGAGUGCUGGAGAGGUAAUCGGAAUUCCGUGUGUAGCGGUGAAAUGCGUAGAUAUACGGAGGAACACCAGUGGCGAAGGCGGAUUGCUGGACAGUAACUGACGUUGAGGCGCGAAAGCGUGGGGAGCAAACAGGAUUAGAUACCCGGGUAGUC